rnacentral:pre_miRNA from 1 species
GAUUUGAACUGAAAAAGUCAUCAACAACAAAGUUGUAUAACUCAUCAAGAUCUAUAACUUUUAUUUUGAUCAUUUCUUCAUCCGAUAAAGUGAUAAUAAUAUUAUUCACACAAUUUACAUAUCUCUCGUGUGGUUUUAUAAUCUAUAAAAAAGAUAUACAAAUUUUGUGAACAAUAUUACUAUAACUUUAUCGGAUGAACAAAUGAUCAAAAUAAAAGUUGUAUGUCUUGAUGAGUUCUACAACUUUUAUGUUCAUGACUUUUUCAGCUGAAAUU